UCUGUCUUUCUUAUCUCUCUUCUCUCACCUUUCAAAGAGAAUCAAUUUCUAUGAGAUUUCAUCAGUUCACUCCUUAAUUGAAAUCAAAUUUCUACUGCUCGAAUGCAAUGGCCAUACAAUGCAAAUUAUGUGAUUGAUGCCUUUUGACUAAGUGAGGGCUUUUUAGUAUAUCAACGAAUAAACAUUGCUGAUUAGAUAGGGCGUCAUCCAUGGCCCAGUGUGCGAAGUACCAGCCACAGAAUCUGAAAUACCUCGAAAAUGUUUGAAAUGAAUAUCAAUGAGUACCAUGGAUGGAAAGACAAUCUAAUGUUUUUGUCAAAUAAAUUAACGCUAAAAUAUGAGUGUGCAUGUAUAUUACUUCAUCAUGGUUAAAUAUUAUGUAUUCUUAUUAUAUUU